GACGAACGCUGGCGGCGUGCUUAACACAUGCAAGUCGAACGGAAAGGCCCUGCUUUUGUGGGGUGCUCGAGUGGCGAACGGGUGAGUAACACGUGAGUAACCUGCCCUUGACUUUGGGAUAACUUCAGGAAACUGGGGCUAAUACCGGAUAGGAGCUCCUGCUGCAUGGUGGGGGUUGGAAAGUUUCGGCGGUUGGGGAUGGACUCGCGGCUUAUCAGCUUGUUGGUGGGGUAGUGGCUUACCAAGGCUUUGACGGGUAGCCGGCCUGAGAGGGUGACCGGCGACAUGACUACUACGAUACGGACCAGACUCCUACGGGCGGCAACGGUCGGGAACAUUACACAGCAGGGCGACGCGAGUGGCAGCGGCGCCGGGUGCGUGAUGCCCUCCUACGAGUUGUGAACCGCUUUCGCCUGUAACGAAGCGUGAGUGACGGUAAUGGAUAAAAAAGCACCGGCUAACUACGUG
rnacentral:rRNA from 1 species